rnacentral:rRNA from 1 species
AGCGAACGCUAGCGGCGGGCCUAACACAUGCAAGUCGAGCGGAGAGCUUCGGCUCUUAGCGGCGAACGGGUGAGUAACGCGUAGGUCACGUAUCCUCAGGUGGGGAAUAACCGUGGGAAACCAUGGCUAAUACCGCAUACGGCCCUUCGGGGUCAAAGCCUUCGGGCGCCAGAGGAGCGGCCUGCGUCCCAUUAUUUAGUCCUAGUUGGUGAGGUAACGGCUCACCAAGGGUACGAUGGGUAGCUGGUCUGAGAGGAUGAUCAGCCACACUGGGACUGAGACACGGCCCAGACUCCUACGGGUGGCAG